rnacentral:lncRNA from 1 species
UUUUAAAAAUUGACUUGUAAUAAUUGUACAUAUUUUGAAAUGCCUUAGCUUGGCUAAAAUGAAUACAUUUUAAACAAUCCUGCUAACUCCCAUUUUGCCCACCCUGGGCUAUGUAGGGCAUUCUGUUCCGGAAGCUUGCAAUCUGAGACACCUGGCAUCUUGUAAUCAAUUAUCUGAGAAACAGGGCCCACCUGCCCUGUACAUCCUGUAUCUGCAACUGUGUAACUGUUACCCCACGCUGUUACCCAACAUCCUAAGUAGAGCUUUUUGUUAGGCCCGCCUUCUCCCCUAACCUGCUCCUUCUGCUUCUGUAAUAAUCUGCUUACCCCGACCCUAAUCUAGUAUAAAAAUGUUGAUUGCCUUUUGUUCUUGACCGAGAGGUUUGAGCUCUAGCUGACUCUCGGAUGCUGGGAUAACGGUGGACUCUCAACAAACUCAGUGCGUGGCGCUUCUGUUUAAACUCGCUCAGGGUUCUUCUUGUUACUAGUUUUUGUGCUUGGCAGACUUAUAAGUGAUAGAGAGAGAAGAAUCUUUGGAUGCAGCCAAUUACUGCAGUUCAGGGCUGGAAACCCUCCCAGCCAUGCAGCUGGUCAGGUGAUUGUGUGUCCAGAAAAAGAGGUAAGGCACACAGUGCAGACUGAGGCUGAGGAAAACAAGGUAAAAGCAAGGAAGAUGGAGGCAUACUGCCUUCACAGCAGCAGGAGAAGGGUCUCUGCUCGUUUUUCACAUUGGCAUUGAUUCACAUCUGGGGUGAAAUGCCGUGUUGUUCCCACAAAUGAGUGAAAACAUGCUUGUCUUUCUGUGCCUGGCUUAUUAACAUAAUGACCUCCAGUUCCACUCAUGUUGUUGCUAACAACGGGAUCUCAUUCUUCUUAUGGCUGAAUAGUACUCCAUUUUGUGUAUGUAUCACAUUUUCUUUAUCCAUUUGUCUGUUGAUGGAUUAACUACGUUGCUUCUAAAGCUCUGCUGUUGUGAAUAGAAAAAAAGCACGGGAGCACAGAUAUCUCUUCCAUGUACUGAUUUCCUUUUCUGG